GACGCCUCCCUUGCCCUGACACCCACGGAAGCAGAGUAUGCCGAGACAGAGUGAAAGCGCGUUUUGACUUGUGGAGUGGUUCGGAGCAGCCCUGGCGGCAGAUAGUAGAGCCAACUGAAGAGCCCACGACUGUUUUUUCCAAUUUAACUCAAAUAAAACUUUUUGCUUAUUCUGCUUUAAGAUGUAGUUACUUCAUUUUUUUUUCCUUUCUAUUCACCAUCAAGAAAUAGAAAACAAGCUAGUUUUAAUUAAUUUUCAGAAUGCUUGCAAAUAUACUCCAGAGAGCUACAGCGUAACAGAUGUUAAUUUGGUGACCGUUGGCUACUCCUGUGAGCCCUGGAAGUGUUUCCCCUCGUCCCGUUGCUCUCCUGUUGGCUUCUUAUCACUGACAGCGGAGAAAGACUGAUGGGCCUUGGCGCCCACUUGAAAUCCCCCCAUCGACCGACCCUUUCGUAGUACGAAUUCAGCAGCAAACAGAUAUUGUUCGCACAUCCUGCCAGCUUCAUGGAGUGGCCUGAAAAGGUGCUGACAGACACUGGACUGAGACCGGGAGAUUCCUUCACACGUGAAUUUGCUGGCUUUUUGAGACCUGAAUCACCUCGAUUGUGUGGAGUGGCCACUUCUGGAUGCGAUUUUCAGUGAACAGAAAUAAUCCCAAAUAAAUGUGGAAACUGGCACUUCGGAAGAAUAAAGGGAAUUCCGAAGAUGGUGGACAGCUUGAAACAGUCUUAAAACAGCCGAGAAGAGCUCCAAUCCAUGUUGGUGGCUCGUGCUCACGCCCCCACGUGUGGAACAAACUGGCAAGCAGAUCUGCUGUGCUCACAGCCACCCAGGGAAGCCCUGGAGACACCUGGCAUCUCUCAGCCACCUGAAAAUAAAUGCCAAUACACAGGAAAGGAUGGAAAAAGUUGCAUAGAGGACAUUUUUAAGGGCAGAGGGUUUUUUUAGACCUUUACAACAUGAUCAAUUAAAGCACAAUCAUUCGACCCCUCUAGCCUUCACUCACUUCAUAUUUCCCCUGCCUUGUCAAGCUCCAGCCAGAGAAGCCUCCUUUAUACAAAGAAGGAAACACAUACACACACGAACACACACACACGCCCAAACACACAUACACACACUUGCACAAACACACAUGCACACACACAUGCACACACGCACAAACACAAAACCAUACACACAUACACACAUUCACACAAACAUGCACAAACACGUGCACAAAUACACACACACACACACAGACACACGAAAAGGACAAGUCUCCUGAUGCUUGUCCAGCGUGCCUCCUCACCCCGGGCAUGCAGUUCCCAGACAUGCUGGCUGAGGUCCUGGAACACAUACCCAGCCACCCAACCAUCAGAAUUCACACUCCCAGGCCAAGAGAGACUCCAGAGAGUGCUGACAUGCAUCACUACCAGGGACCCUACAGGACUUAGGUCCAAGGUCCUGGACAAGCACUUCAUAAUAUUUAGUGACUUUUGAGUUGUGCAAUUUCUUAUAUUGAAAAUUGAUAAUAUUAACAUUUAGUUAUCACUUACAAAUGGCAAUAUUGUUGUAUUUUGGGAAAUAAACAACAGAAAGCUCUUUCUUCCUAG
rnacentral:lncRNA from 1 species